rnacentral:tRNA from 1 species
GGACCCGUAGCAUAAUUGGAUAAUGCAACACACUUCUAAUGUGUAGAGUCUAGGUUCGAGUCCUAGCGGGUUCA